GAUUAUCCCAGAGAAUUGUUUAUAUCAUUAAAAGCGGGCCAAGCAUGGUUUGAACUGUGAUUGCUCCCCACAUUGGAGGAUAAACAUUCUUUCAAGACAUUUCUUUGGAAAACCCCCG
rfam:Myotis lucifugus cont2.40219, whole genome shotgun sequence.